CCCUUAGAUGUUCUGGGCCGCACGCGCGCUACACUGAUGAACGCAACGAGACCACCUGUACCGAAAGGCAUGGGUAAACUUGUGAAAGUUCAUCGUGAUGGGGAUAGAUUAUUGCAAUUAUUAAUCUUCAACGAGGAAUUCCUAGUAAGCGCGAGUCAUCAGCUCGCGUUGAUUACGUCCCUGCCCUUUGUACACACCGCCCGUCGCUCCUACCGAUUGAAUGGUCCGGUGAAAUCUUCGGAUUGCUGGAUAGGACUUCAUUGACCUAUCUGCGAGAAGUUGCUUGAACCUUNUNAUUUAGNGGAAGGAGAANUCGUANCA
rnacentral:rRNA from 1 species